CAAUAAAGGAGAAAACUUGCUUCCAACUUCGAUUCACUGUCGAUUUUGCAACAAUAAAUAAAAACGAAAGGCAUGACACAAUAUAUGCAUAAUUUGCUAAGUUGAUGUUUAAUACAGAAUGUACGGAAAUUCGAAAGUCUUCGUUUGACGAAGUAGCUAAGGCCGGAAAUUGUUUUACAGGUUCAUUAGAUGCCUAGGAACAUGUCAUAAAGUUUUUCAAAAAAAUGAGGUUCGGAUUUUCGCGUCGCAUUUUUUUGAAAAUUGAUAAAGUUGUAAUUUCACGUAUUUUUUUCCGUUGGUCUUAGAAAAAAAAUGGUUCUUGCAAAAGUUGUCCGUGAUGUUGCCCUCUAUAAAAUUAGUCCCGUACAAAAAUCACGUAUCGUUGGUAGUUUACUUGUAAAUUACCUAUAAACACGGACAUCGAUCGUUUUGUUUAUCGCUAUUAAUUCUGUGAAUUUUCAAUGACAUGCCUUGAAACUCGUCCAACGUGUAGAACAAUCAUUUCUCCAAUUUUUUCAACAAGAACAAAAAUUUUGCGCGAAACUCCAGGCCUGAUUUUUUUGACAAACUUCAUGAUAUGUUUCUAGGCCAGCCAAUGAACCAGUAAAAAAAUUUCCAGUCUUAUGUUCUUCAUCGAGCGAAGUCAUGUAAAUUUCGACUGGAUUACAAAGAUUUAUUUUAGAUUUUCAGGCUGGUCAAAACAAUGUUCAAAGUAGAUAAUUUAGAAAAAAUGAAGAAUGAACAAGUGCAGCUGUGGUUAGUCAAAUUGAAUUGGAUCAAAACGAUGUCGUCGCCUCAUUAUCAGAAAAAACCAGCGCAUGCAUACGAAGAGUUAAGUUAUCAACAGUUUUUUAGACAUCGUUAUACUAUUCUGGAAUUUUUGUAACUGAAAGAUGUUUGAUUUUUACGGGGCAGUGCUCAACUAAAAUAUAUGCGAAAAACGAAUUUAUUAUACCUGUUUUCAAAAAUGAUGUUCAAUUCUAGUAGAUUCCUGCUUUUUCUGAAUUAUUUACUGCAUUAAAAGUCCUCUUUUUUGUUGAUUCAAGGAUUUAUCAGGGGUACGUAGUAUAUAGCAAAAACAAUGAGUAAAUGGAAGAAUUAAGAAAUAAAUACUAAAAAAGGGUCAAAACGAUUUCGUCUUAAUAUGGAGGAACGAAAACAAGAAGUAACGGAUUUGCAUUUAAAGAGCAUAUAAUACUAUUCUGAAUUUUUUGUAAAUGAUGAACUUGUACCAUAUACCUAAUUUGAGUAGAUCGUAGCUGACUUUGUUAGGAAUAAAUUAUCCAAAAAUGCCUCGACUUGUUUUGAUAUCCAGCUGUGCAAAUGACCAAAACAUAACUAAUGUAAAAUCAAUUUGGUCGCAUUCAACAAACUAAUGCUUCAAUUCAAAAUGUAUUGACCUCAUAAAAUAUGUGUAACAGGUGAUUUCGCAGAAUUCAUUUGCAACAAAAAUUACCAGUUAUUCGUAGAAAUUGAACAGACUGUAGGUACGCGAACUUGGUACUAUCGAGUAGCCACAUUCUAAUGCAGAAGCAAGUCUUAUCGUGAUUCAUCUGCUACAAGAAUUGAAUGGUAACUUAUCGACAUUAACGAUUGUAUCAUAACAGUACACGAUUUCUGCUGACAGCUGACUGACGUAGCGAUAAAAAUGUUCUAACCGUUUCUAUUUCUUAUGUUAGAUAGUGACAGUCAAUCCAUUAUUAUGAACUGGACACCACAGCAACGUCUUCACUCGUUGUAAGCAAAAAAUACUGUGAAUUAUGUGAAUCACCGAUCAAUACUUUAACCCACUUGGCUCCUUGAAGCUGUAAAAGAUAUUGUUCAGAACUGGUUCUCUUUAAUAGGUACUGUUUACUCUACGUUGGUACUAAGAAAUGACGCUCGAUUAUGUAACCCGUCUCAGAUUAUUUAUUUACUACUCAAUGAACGAUUCCGAACGAAGUUCACGGCUUUUUAUUGUGUUCCGUACCAUGGGAAUAUCUUUGAUGAAAGUAAACUGUCACGGCACGUAAUUUGAGUUGCGUUUCAGUCUACAAUGAUUUACUAGGUAUCACCAUGUGCUCAUCAGUCGCUAACUUUCCCUAGCUAGACCAUUUCCAAUUACAUCUUUCUAGUAAAUGUCCUUCGCACACAAGUGUCAGGCUGCAUUUUUCCCACUGUACUUGGAUUCCACAAACUUACGCUCCUUUUCGCAGUUUUUUCCACUGUACUUGGAUGCCACAAACUUACGUUCCUUUUCUCAGUUUUUUCCACCUCUCCCAGGACAUCACUCUCCCUCAAUUCUCAAUCAGCAAACCAAUUGCUGGUGAUUCCUCGACUCAGAAGAACGUGUGUACCGAAGCUCUUUUGGACAACAAUAUAAAUGCUUUUAACCUAAUUUAUACAUCACCUGGAUCCCCUUAAUUACUGUGCAGUACGUUCAUAUGAGAUUCGGUGUUUGUAUCACCGUAGACGAGGAUUCGCGUGAAGAAAAACAGACUUUGGUCCUUCCUCCGAAGGUCCUUAACCUUUGUUCCUAAAUUUUUCUACCUCGACACGUUUUCGACAGGACUGUACACCUGACACAUCCUUAGAGAGAAGAUCACUCGUGUCGUCAGGCAAGAAGACGAAGCCCGACGGUUAACCUUAGGAGGAAUACGAACGGAAAGAAAAAGAAGUAAGAAUAAGAAGAAGCAUGCCGAAUGAAAAAAAGUAGAGAGAAAAGGAGGUAAAAAUUGAAUACAGCUGCAGCGCCGGCGGUUGGAUGACUUCAUCACUGCUGCACCGAAGGGGGAGUUUCGGAGAAGCCCACGUUCGUCUGACAGACUCUUCUCUUGCCUCGAGUAUUUUCGUACAGAAGGCUUCGACGCCGCCGGAUCUCGGGUACAAGAGUGAAGUUUGACUAUCGCAGUGUGUGAUGAUCACCGCCUCGCGAAUGGCGGGUAUUUGUCAUUAGUGAUUCUCGGUCAAUCGGUAUUACCAUCAUCAUCGAACAUCCGGCAGAUGCAGCGGGGAAUUCAGCUGCAGACGGUACUUAAGUAUCAGCAAUGAAGAUAAUGUUGUGAAGGGUCACUUCAUUCAUCCGUCGAUCGCUGCGGUGGGGUGAAAUCAUCGAUGUGAUUAAGUGCAUGUAUAGUGUCUGACCGCAUGUGUGAGUCAUAUUUUACACGUUUUCGUGGUAUUUCAACUGCGUCUAAGCGUAAUUGCAAGACAUGGAGGAAGUGGCUUGAUGGGCUUCGAAGACUUCAAAAGCGGACUAAGCUUGGUGCCACAGUCUGUUUAAUUCUAGAGGUGACACCGCGACUUUUCUAGGACGUAAGAAUAUGGAGCUAAAAGUCUUCCUCGUCCAUUUUCUGCAAUGGAUUAUCAUCGGCUUUGGAUUCGCUACGGCCAUUAGAUACGAACCGACGGCGAUGCCGAGAGGAGCCGGGACAUUAGCGAAUCCGAGUGACAAUCCUUCCAGCGGAUGUUGCCAGUGCAAAUUCGAUGACACCGCCUACCUCAACUCAGCUUGCGGGAGUAUGGCGUCUUUCAUGAUACUUGUUCAGAGCUUGAUGAUGUCCAGAUGCGACAUAGCCGACCCUUGUCGACGGGCCGGAAGGUCGGAUCUACCGGAUGGUCAAUGGUACGAUUUUAUCAUCGUCGGCGCCGGAGUUGCCGGACCGAUCUUAGCCAGACGAUUGAGCGACUAUCCGUGGUGGAAGGUGCUUCUCAUCGAAGCGGGACCUGAGGAACCGACGAUGACGGCUUUCCCGGGGCUUGCCUUCAACGCGAUCAACUCGUCAUUGGACUGGAAGUUCUUGACGGAACCAACGCAGCCACACCCGACAGCUUGCUUGGAAAGAGGCGGAAUCUGUGCUUGGCCACGAGGCAAAAUGGUGUCGGGCACCGGGGGUCUCUAUGGCAUGAUGUACGUUCGGGGUCACCCCGAAAUCUACAACAAAUGGGCGCGGGAGGGGAACGUCGGUUGGUCGUACAGUGAGAUCGAGCACUACUUCGAGCGGGCGGAGGCGCCGGCAAAUCCGAAUAUGGUGCGGACCGAGCCGUUCGCGCGAACGCGGAGCGGCGGCCCGUUGCAGAUCAACUAUUUUCCGCACAAGCCGGACUUCUCCGAGGACCUGCUCAACUCGGCAAAGGAGCUGAGGUACCGGAUCGGCUCGCUCCGUGGCUUUAACCAGACGGGUUUCAUGGUAGCCCCGAUGAUGACGAGCGCCGGCCUUCGUGGAACUACUUCGCGGUACUAUUUGCGGCCCGUCUCGCAGCGGCCCAAUUUGGACGUGUUGAUAAACGCUCACGUGACACGAAUCCUCGUGGAGAAGUGGUCCGCGAGGGCGUACGGGGUCGAGUACAUCGACAAGAAUGGGGUACGGCGAGUCAUGAAGACUAACAAAGAGGUGAUUCUAACCGCCGGGGCUAUCGGGUCACCGCAGAUUCUGAUGACGUCAGGAAUCGGACCCAAGGAGCACCUCACUAAGCUCGGAAUAAAGCCUGUAAAGGAUCUGCCGGUAGGAGAAAACCUCCACAAUCAUGUCUCCAUCGGCAUAAAGAUGAGCAUCAAUGACACUCACUACGAAACGCUUACUCUUAGCGCGAUCAAUGAGUUUCUGGCCACCCGGAGCGGGCCUUUAGCUAGCACUGGUCUGACCCAGGUGACAGCGUUUCUAGAAAGCAGCUAUUCGACGGCUGGAGUUCCCGACCUGCAGAUAUUCUUCGACGGUUUUAGUUCAAAGUGCCCUAGGACCGGCCUUCAAACGGAGUGUCCAGAUGGUAGCAUCAACACGUGUCCGGAGCGUCGAGAGAUAGUCGCCAGACCGACGGUCGUCUGUCCACGAAGCAAAGGUUAUAUGAAGCUGCGCUCGUCCAACCCGCUGGACCCGCCACUCCUGUACCCCAACUACUUCGUGAACGAAGUCGACGCAAAGAUCCUCGUUGAGGGUAUAAAGAAGGUCGUCGAGCUGAGCAAGACCAAAGCAUUGCGGAAGUGGGACCUCCGCUUGGACAACAAACCACAUCCAUGGUGUGCCAGGUACUACUUCGGGUCUGAUGCUUACUGGUCUUGUCUCAUCCGCGUUCAGACUGGCCCGGAAAACCAUCAGGCGGGGUCUUGCAGGAUGGGCCCGGUUGGCGAUGCCCGCGCUGUUGUCGAUCCUGAGUUGAGAGUUCACGGCGUUGAAAACAUCCGCGUUGCUGACGCUUCGAUUUUCCCCAUCGUUCCCAACGCCAACCCCGUCGCCGCCAUCAUCAUGGUCGCCGAAAAAGCCUCCGACCUCAUUCGGGCCGCUUGGAUGGUGAAGUGAGAAAUUCUCGUUCGCCGGUACGAGUUUCUUGUCCCACCGCCAAAAUAUGCCGAUCCUCUCAAGAUCUUCGAAAAUUCGGAAAAGAGAGAGAUCUUCUUCGUCUUCUUCUUUUUCUCCUUUGCUCUUUCAUUGGUUAACGGGUUUCUUCGAGAAAGGAAAAGAAGGAUAAUGUACGAUGUAGUGACGGUGAACUGACAUGAUUGUAACGUGCUUUCUAGAAAUAAUAAGGAUUCAAGUUUUGGUUACAAUAUUGUCUAAAAUAAGGUUCUCAAAUGUUGUGAGCUAAGAAGACGAUAUAAUAAAACAACAACGUUCAUACAUGCAAGUCUGCAUACUUUCAGUCUGCAUAGUCAUUGUGUAUUUUCUGAUGUACCAUCGACUGGUAAUCGAUACAUUGUAAGCAGUAAGUUAGAUAGAUCAGGUUCUCUGGCAGACUCCAACUCGUGUGACCAUCGACAUUAACACUUCACUUCGUGAAAUCGAUACUCUGAUCGAGUGUAAAGAGAGUAAAAAUAAAACCAGUAGCACCGAGCAGCAUUCAAGAAAGAUAAAUAUACGUAAAGAAUUCGAUUCUUUCGUCGGUUCCAAUCGAACGGUUCAAUAAAACUUUGAUAAUACUUCGAUCGAAUGGCACUAUGUUAUAAUUAAUAACGUAGAUCAAUAAUUGUAUAUAUAUAUAUACGCACGCAUCUGUGAUAAUUUCUUCAGGAAACUGAUCGACUCGUAGAACAAACUUCUGACGACGCACUUGUGGUUAAUAUUGAAGCAAAAAAUCUGCGGGUUGUAAUACCAGUUUGCACAGGUUUUACCGAUAAUCGAAGUGGGGUAAUAUUCAGACGCCUGCUUCCUCGGGCAUUCGUUAUAUAAACUCCUUGGCAGUGCGCGGCAGAGCUUAACUACAACUCAGAGUGAACAGUAUAUAGUAGCUUCCGGAAAACGACUGCUUGUACAACGGGGCAAGGUUCAGGUUAAUUUUAUCGCAAACCGUGGAGACAAACGUCCAUUUUCU
rnacentral:misc_RNA from 1 species